rnacentral:misc_RNA from 1 species
GAUGAAGAACGUAGCGAAAUGCGAUAAGUAAUGUGAAUUGCAGAAUUCAGUGAAUCAUCGAAUCUUUGAACGCACAUUGCGCCCGCUAGUAUUCUGGCGGGCAUGCCUGUCCGAGCGUCAUUUCAACCCUCAAGCCCCCGGGCUUGGUGUUGGGGAUCGGCGAGCCUCCGCGCCCGCUGUCCCCUAAAUCUAGUGGCGGUCUCGCUGUAGCUUCCUCUGCGUAGUAGCACACCUCGCACUGGGAAACAGCGCGGCCACGCCGUUAAACCCCCAACUUCUGAACGUUUGACCUCGGAUCAGGUAGGAAUACCCGCUGAACUUAAGCAUAUCAAUAAGCGGAGGA